rnacentral:ncRNA from 1 species
UAAUUGAAGAGUUUGAUCAUGGCUCAGAUUGAACGCUGGCGGCAGGCUUAACACAUGCAAGUCGAGCGGUAACAUUUCUAGCUUGCUAGAAGAUGACGAGCGG